AUGGAGUUCCAAGAUGGACAAACGGAAGUGGUGAACAAGUUUUUGGGUAAUCUGAUCUGUUGCAUUUGUGGAGAAAGAAAGGGGCAAUGGGAUUUGGCUUUAUCUCUUGCAGAGUUCUUCUACAAUAACUCCAAGCAUAGAUCCACAGGAAGGAGCCCUUUUUCCAUUGUCUACACUAAAGUUCCAACACAUGUGGUGGACCUGGUGAAGCUGCCAUCAAGGAGAAACUCAAAAUCAGCAUUGUCCUUUGCUGAUAAUUACACCGAGUUAAAGAGAUUCGCGGCGCUUUGGAAGCACAAAAUCAGAAAUAUAAACAACUUGCUGAUUGCAAAAAGAGGCCAAAAUCAUUCCACGUCGAUGAUAAGGUGA
rnacentral:rRNA from 1 species